rnacentral:rRNA from 1 species
GACGAACGCUGGCGGCGUGCUUAACACAUGCAAGUCGAGCGGUAAGGCCCUUUCGGGGGUACACGAGCGGCGAACGGGUGAGUAACACGUGGGUGACCUGCCCUCAGCUCUGGGAUAAGCCUGGGAAACUGGGUCUAAUACCGGAUAUGACUCCAUGACGCAUGUUGUGGGGUGGAAAGCCUUGUGCGGCUGAGGAUGGGGCCCGCGGCCUAUCAGCUUGUUGGUGGGGGAUGGCCUACCAAGGCGACGACGGGUAGCCGGCCUGAGAGGGCGACCGGCCACACCUGGGACUGAGACACGGCCCAGACUCCUACGGGAGGCAGCAGUGGGGAAAUCUUGCGCAAUGGGCGAAAGCCUGACGCAGCGACGCCGCGUGAGGGAUGACGG